rnacentral:rRNA from 1 species
UACGGAGGGUGCAAACGUUGCUCGGAAUCAUUGGGCGUAAAGCGCACGUAGGCGGCUCGUUAAGUCGGGUGUGAAAGCCCUGGGCUCAACCCAGGAAGUGCAUUCGAAACUGGCGAGCUUGAAUAUGGAAGAGGGUCGCGGAAUUCCCGGUGUAGAGGUGAAAUUCGUAGAUAUUCGCAAGAACACCAGUGGCGAAGGCGGCUCACUGGCCCGGUACUGACGCUGAGGUGCGAAAGCGUGGGGAGCAAACAGG